AGCUUUGUCAUAAGCUCUUAGAGCACUACUCUUUGCUACGUCAGUAGGAGAUGAUGUGGAGGCAAAAGUCCAAGGUUUAGUGGAUCAAGGAGGAUGAUUAGAAUAUCAAAUUUGUUCAUCAGUCUAUUAUGAUUAGGAGGUCCAUCAACUGUAUCAGGUAGUUGAGAAAGAGCUACAACAGGGUGGUGGAUGAUAGUGAG
rnacentral:lncRNA from 1 species